GGCCUGCCAUUAAACUCCAUCAGGUACUUGAUGAGUUCUAUUGUUUGGCUGGCAGUUUCCCUCUGAGCAUCUGCACUUUGCAAAUGAUCUCCUAUUUUCGCAGCAGUCUGUCCAACACUUGAAAUACGAGAGUCCAACCUUGCAAAGCUAUCAAACAAUCCAUCUACACCUUUUUCCAUCAGCAAGUGUUUUCCGGUGCUUAGAGUCUUGGGCAGAAACAUCUUUCCUCAGAUUGGAGAGCUUUCCAUCAAUCUGCUUUCGAAGAUCAAUUAACUCUUUACAAGAAUCUCUGAACAGAGACAAGAGAGCAUCUACUUCUGGAAAUAAAGGGGACAGCCCUUGUGUAAAUUUUGGUACCUCAGAGGGGGCUCUUACAUGCCCAUUUGCUAAGACAUCACUCCCACCAACGUUUCCAUGCCCUUCGGCUGAAUCUGCUUCAUCUUCUUGAAACGAUGGAAGGAAUUCCUUUACCAAGUUCCCAAAUAAUCCAUCAAAUGAAAAUUCACCCUUAAAAUCAUCUAUAUCCAAAAUCAGUGGAAGGGAGCCAGCUGAUGGAGAUUUCGAAUUUCCACUAUCACUCUUGAUACUUUCUUUCAUCUCUAUGCUGGUUCAAUGAGCAAGAAAAAAAAAGCGGAGACGA
rnacentral:misc_RNA from 1 species